UAGGAGGACAGACUGGAUACCUCGUGAGG
rnacentral:piRNA from 1 species